UUAAAAAAUAUAUAUAUAAAGUGUUGUGCUUUGUUUGAAAGAACAUAUAAACUAAAAGCUUUGUUUGAUCACACGAGUAAGAAUGUUAAAACAUAUAUACCAUUUAAAUGGUUAUAUCUAGCCAAAAUAAUAUGCAGCAUACCGUAGGUAAUACAAGAAAAAUAUUAAAAAUAUUACCUAAGAUUAGAAGCUACUUGGUCAGCCAUUAUCUUUACACCAUGGACCUUAAGGCCCGUGUGUUUUACAUAUAUAAGAGAGAAAAAAGAAAUGAUUUGGAAACUCAAGCCUCAUUGGUCGGCCACCCCAUCCUCGAUCUGCUUGAGCCCUUGGUCACCAUCAGGGUUUAGGGAGAUCUCUAGACCAAGACUCUUUGGGGAAGUAGCAGGAGCAGCCUCGUCCUCCCCAUGACCAAUACACUUUGUAAUUAGGCACUCAACCUUAAUAAAAAAAUUGGGACAUUACAGGGCUUGUCACAGUCGGCGAUCAACGAUUCCGAUGUGGGAGGUCCUUUAGCUCCUUGGACGACCAACUCAUUUUCAUGGGAUUUUUGUGAUACUUUGGAGCUUUUAGAGGUCGUCGCCCCAGGACCAUCUCAGCACAGAGGGAGUCUUCUUGAUCCUCGUUGCACUGUUCGUUCCCUUGUUAGGGGGAUAUCCUUUCGACUCUGACUGCGAAAAAGCUUGCGUAUAUGCUUUUCUUCUCCAAUGAUCCAUGUGGUCACAAGCUUGAUAUAGAAGAUGAGGCGUUAGUGGGGUUCAUCCUAGAGAACUAGGCCAGUCCGAGUUCUCUUGAUUCCCAUCCGAGUGGAGGGGAGCCUACUAAUGGGCCUUCUUUCAUAGAUUUGUUGGGUAUUUAGUGCCCACUUGUUGCCAAAGCAAUUUAUUUGGGCUUAUCUAUGUGACGUUAGGGUUUUGCUUCUGCCUCAUCUUACUGUUUGAUUACUGAAUUGCAAGACCCAUGGACCCAUCAGAGUUCUUUUCUCAGCCCUUGAUCAUUCCAGGGGGUUCCAGAAGGCAAAAGAAAUGACCUUUGACCCAGAGUCAAUCUCACGAGAAAGCAAAGAGGGUCAGGAUCCGACCUCCAGCUGCUGCUCCCUCUAGUACUGCUCCACUGGAUCUUCUUCCAGAGAGCGCUUAGUGUCAUACGGUGUCAGCGCACACAUUUCCUUUUGCAAUAGCAACUUCUUCAGAGUUGCUACCUCAAGCGCCUCUUCUGACAGGUGUUAGCAUGGCGAGAGGGAUGUUGGAGUCCAUAGCAUUGGGCCCAUGCCUCCUCCAAAAUUGGCCAUCAGUGACCACUUGCUCUUCUAUGGACUUGUCGCACCAACAGAUGGAAAAUAAGAUGGCACUGACUGAUGUGAAUCUACAUCGCCAGCUUGAGCGAGAGGCUGAAGAUCUUAGAAGACCCAUUCAAAUCUCAAGAGCAUCCUUUUUGACCAUGAGAGCUCUCGUACUACUCUCGUUGCCUCUAAACAAAGUUAUUGAGUUCGCUGAUGAGGAUGGCACCGAUCAAGUUUCCCCGAAAUGAGUCAGUUCUGAGGGAAUUGUAACUGUUGAGGCUUCUAUCGACAGAGUGGCCACUGGAAAGGGCCCUACUAGCGAGGGAUUUACUGGCGUGGACGCUGCUGGCGAGGGUGAUCGCUCCACCGAACCUGCAUAGCCUUCUCAUCGCUGUUUUUCUUUAUUUUUGUUGUUCUUUACAUUAAGCUAUGCUCCCAUCUGUAUGAACACUGGCCUUAACAUGGCCGCUUUAUGUGCUUGAUGUUGCUUUCCAAAAGAUUCUGAAUUUUUCCU